rnacentral:rRNA from 1 species
UACGUAGGGGGCUAGCGUUGUCCGGAAUCAUUGGGCGUAAAGCGCGUGUAGGCGGUCCGGUAAGUCCGCUGUGAAAGUCGGGGGCUCAACCCUCGGAUGCCGGUGGAUACUGUCGGGCUUGAGUACGGAAGAGGCGAGUGGAAUUCCUGGUGUAGCGGUGAAAUGCGCAGAUAUCAGGAGGAACACCAAUUGCGAAGGCAGCUCGCUGGGACGUUACUGACGCUGAGGCGCGAAAGCGUGGGGAUCAAACAGG